rnacentral:rRNA from 1 species
AUGCCAACCUUCGCGUUCACGGCGCUGCGAAUACCAAAGAAGUUCAUAAAGGAGAUCGACAAGUCAAGACAGCGCUUCCACUGGGUGGGAGACGAAGAAAUCUCGGGCGGCAAAUGCAAGGUUCGCUGGGCAUCAGUGACCAAGCCGGAGCAACUGGGCGGACUGGGCAUCCCUGACCUCAGCCGUUUCGCCCGGGCUCUACGGAUGCGCUGGCUAUGGCUUUCCUGGAGGCAGCCAACCAGGCCCUGGGUUGGCACCGGGACGCCAUGCGACGCUGCUGAUCAGGCUCUUUUCGCGGCCUCCACAGUGGUGACCAUCGGGAACGGUGCUACUGCAUCCUUCUGGUCGUGCUCCUGGCUGGGAGGGAGGCAACUCUGCUCGGCAUACCCCGACUUGUUCGCCCGAGCCAUCCGCAAGAACAGAAGCGUAAAGGAGGCCUUGACUGAUGAUCGGUGGAUCCUCGACCUUCGCAACGCCGACUACAACAACAUUGUGCAUCAAGUGGUGCAGCUGGCAAGAGAGAUCAGGCAAGCUCAAAUCAAUCUGGAACCGGAGGCCCCGGACACGAUCAAAUGGAAGUUCAACAGCUCGGGCAACUACUCGACAAGCUUGGCGUACAACGCACAAUUCGAAGGCAAUCAGACAUGCAGUUUCAAAACUAUCAUUUGGAAGAUUUGGGCUCCGGGGAAAGUGAAGAUGUUCCUCUGGCUUUUGCACCUCGACAGACUCUGGUGCAACGAUCGCCUUCAGAGGAGAGGAUGGACGAAUGGUUAUUUUUGCCCCAUGUGUCUGCGCAACCUGGAGACCUCGCUGCACCUGAUCUGGGAAUGUCCGGUGGCAAUGCAGGCCUGGAACACCGCGGCCUCCUGGACAGGGUGCAGCUCUUUAAACCAGCAAGUGUGGAGCAGAGCUGCAACGACAACGGACAAAGUUCAGAUGAUUGUGGCUUCCGCUGCCCCAGAACACAGGAAGGGCACGAAGACCAUGAUCGCCCUCAUUUCCUGGCACAUCUGGCUGGAAAGAAAUGCAUGCAUUUUCAGGGGCAAACAAGCUGACGCUAGGCACAUCAUCAAAGCAUGCCAGAGCGACAUGGAGCAAUGGCGACUCGCCGGCGCACGAUGCAUCCAGCAGCCCUUUGGGGAAGUGACGUGA